ensembl:snRNA LOC120099052 U6 spliceosomal RNA
GUGUUUAGUAGCACAUAUUCUAAAAUUGGAAUAAUUUAGUAAAGAUUAGCAUGGGCCUGCACAAGGUUUACACACACAUUUUUUUUUUUAAAUUUAUUUAU